AAUUCAUUUCCUGUCAUUUUUACUGCUCCUCUGAGCCAGCACACUUGCCGCACUGCUCGAAGUUUCCAGACGCAGAGAAGAGGAUUUCCAAAGAAGAGAAGAAUUUCCUCACCCUCUCAUGUCAUCAUUUACUGCUGCCGAUUUUCCGAGAAUCAUGUUUUUCCUGUUACAAUGUGUAAACGCUCAUAAAAGGACACCGCCUUGUUUGAAAGCUGAGAGCAGCUGUUCGGAGGACAUGUGAUAGGAGCCNAAAGGACACCGCCUUGUUUGAAAGCCGAGAGCAGCUGUUCGGAGGACAUGUGAUAUCGGGAGCUUCUCAAACAAUCCCACACCCUUGUCACCAAGCUGGUGUUGGGAGGAGCUGCUUUUGAUGCUGGACAAUUUCUCCUUCUAAAGGGCAACUAUGUCCACCACGGUCUCUUCCCCCAUUGAUUUUCUCCUCUUGUGACUUUGGAAUCCAAAGUUCAAGGUUAGAAUCCGAGAGAGGCCCCCAGCGGUGUCUCAGUGAGGGUCGGGGGGGAAACAGAGGGUGUGCUCAGAGAAGGACCAUUCACAGGAGAUUUAUCUCCCGAGAGAUUCAUUCCCAGGGUGUGGGUGGGGCUUUGCCAAAGGAGGAGGGCAGCGAGGAAACCCAAGGGGUAGCCGCCAAGGGCCCAGAAAGAAAGCGAGUGGGAGAAAGCUGGUUAUUUUAAGCCGAACAGUGACCUUCUGUCGAAGGACGUGGCCAGCCUGAGGUCACCUCACUCCUCUGCUUUACUCGAAUUUCCUGUCCGGUGUCCCCACUGGCCAAACCCACUCAGAAGCCAAGGACACAGCCUCAUGUCAAUUGCUUGUUGACACUGUCUACACAGGCUGGCCUUGGGAGGCAGAGUGCGGGUGGAGAGAGGUGGAAACAGAAGAAGCAAACAGAAGAAACACCCCAGGAGAGUGAGGGUGACCAGCUUCCUGGACUGGAAGGUACUGGAGAAGCUGAUCCUACAAGACCAGUUGUAUCAUUGGUCAACUGCUGGGCUAGCAACUUGAGGUUCCCGUUAAAGUUGGGUGUGGAGCUGUGAGGCCAGCCAGGACGUCCUGGGGACGGCCGGGAGCGUGGCACAUCCCCAGGCAGGGCCACUGAGGCUUUUGAGUCAUCCUUUUCUCCAGGUCACCAGGUCACGGAGGGCACAGGUGGAGGAGCGCCCCAGCCUGUAACUGGUCUCGAGUGAUGGGAUGGAGAAGGCUUCCCAUGGUCAGAGCCCACAGACUGGGGAGGAAAUGCCAGCUGGCAGGGGCCCGAGUGGAAAAUCCGAUGAGACCAAGGUCCCCAGGGUCAGGAAACAAUCACCAUUAAUUGAAGGUCAAUUACGUGCCACGCUUCGUGCUGGGUGCUGCCUUCUGCAAACGAGGGAAACUGAGUCUCCAGGAGGGUCUAUCCCCUCCCCAGGCCCACGGCUAGGAUGGAAUGCCCUGAGAUCUGAGUCUAGACCUACCUCCAAACUCAAGUUGCUUCCACUACAGGAUGCUAUGACUUAGAUAUUCCUUGUCAUGCUGGAAAAGGAACUUUGGAGCAAGAGCUAGGCUGUGCCUUUAACUUUCGUGAAAUCUUGAGACCGGCUUAUUCUCUC
ensembl:lncRNA